rnacentral:rRNA from 1 species
GGGUUGUGAGGUUAAGCGACUAAGCGUACACGGUGGAUGCCCUGGCAGUCAGAGGCGAUGAAGGGCGUGCUAAUCUGCGAUAAGCGCCGGUAAGGUGAUAUGAACCGUUAUAACCGGCGAUACCCGAAUGGGGAAACCCAGUGUGACUCGUCACACUAUCAUUAACUGAAUCCAUAGGUUAAUGAGGCGAACCGGGGGAACUGAAACAUCUAAGUACCCCGAGGAAAAGAAAUCAACCGAGAUUCCCCCAGUAGCGGCGAGCGAACGGGGAGGAGCCCAGAGCCUGAAUCAGCAUGUGUGUUAGUGGAAGCGUCUGGAAAGGCGCGCGAUACAGGGUGACAGCCCCGUACACAAAAGCGCACAUGCUGUGAGCUCGAUGAGUAGGGCGGGACACGUGGUAUCCUGUCUGAAUAUGGGGGGACCAUCCUCCAAGGCUAAAUACUCCUGACUGACCGAUAGUGAACCAGUACCGUGAGGGAAAGGCGAAAAGAACCCCGGCGAGGGGAGUGAAAAAGAACCUGAAACCGUGUACGUACAAGCAGUGGGAGCCCCACCACCAAAGCAUUCUCUGGUGUUGAAGGCCCUGCAAAGCAGCAUCGCGGUGGCGGAGCGUCGUUUGCGACGCCCAACACACAAAACAAGCGGUGAGUGCUUUGGGGUGGGGUGACUGCGUACCUUUUGUAUAAUGGGUCAGCGACUUAUAUUCUGUAGCAAGGUUAACCGAAUAGGGGAGCCGGAGGGAA